UACGUAGGAGGCGAGCGUUGUCCGGAUUUACUGGGCGUAAAGCGCGCGCAGGCGGCACACUAAGUACGAUGUGAAAUCUCCCUGCUCAACGGGGAGGGUGCAUAGUAAACUGGUGAGCUAGAGGACGGUAGAGGAGAAUGGAAUUCCUGGUGUAGCGGUGAAAUGCGCAGAUAUCAGGAAGAACACCCGUGGCGAAGGCGGUUCUCUGGGACGGUACUGACGCUGAGACGCGAAAGCGUGGGGAGCGAACAGG
rnacentral:rRNA from 1 species